CGUUUUCUUCUGAGACAGCUGACUGGCCCCCUGACGGCUUGAAAACGGUGCCGAGAGCAUUCCUGAGGCUUCGUGAAGGUUUGCCUCGACCGACUCUGUUGAUGCCAGCCUGCUCUGCGACAGCUUCACAGGAAAGGAAAGUCUUGUUCUAAGAGGGAAGAUGGGGAGGAAGAUUGUCUCGGAGCCAGGGGGAUUUCAUUUGAGGGCUUGCCACACUUUCUGGGUGGGCUUGGAGUGCGCACUCUGUUGAAAAUAUUUCCCUUUCCUCAUCUACGAAAUUGAGAAAAUAACACUUCUGUGCUUUAAGCAGCAGACUUAAAACUGAUAACAGGAGCCUUAUUCAGACAUUCUACUUAAGUGUUUAAAUUAACGCAGGAUGGGGCUGCCGCAGGGGUGCAGAGACUAGCCCCUCCCUGUCUUCUUCUCAUAUACAGCUGAGAAGGCAAAAGUCUCUACGUAAUGUGGGACCACCCAACUUUUGGGUGGUACACUCAAAGCUUGGUUCCAGAAUGCCUCCGUUUUCAAAUGUUUUGGCUCUCAAAAGCCGAAAACCCGGAAGUAAAUGCUCUGGUUUUUGAACGCUUUUGAGAACCCAAAUGUCCGACACAGCUUCUGCUUGUGUGCAAGAAGCUCUUGUAACCAAUUGGAAGCCGUGCCUCGGUUGUCGAAGGUUUUGGAAGUCAAACGGCCUUCCAGAAUGGAUUACCGUAUUUUUCGCUCCAUAAGGCACACCGGACCAUAGGGCGCACCUAGUUUUUAGAGGGGGAAAUCAAGAAAAAAAAUCUAAUUUCUCCCCCCAGCCCUAAAGAGCAGCGUACAGGCUGUGCGCAACCUCUCCCUGCCGGAGGGGUUGCGCGCGGCUAUGGCACAAGCCAAGACAGCGAGCGGGAUGGAUCCCAUUCACUGUUUUGGCUUCCUCUUUAGCCCCGCGCAACUCUCCCUGCCGGAGGGGCUACGUGCGGCUAUCCCUGAAGCCUUCCGAGCACAGCGCAAGUUCCCACUGCGCUCCUCAGGCUUCGGGUUCCUUUUGCUGAAGCCGGGAGAGCAAGAGGGGUCGGUGCGCACCCCUCUGCGCACCGACCCCUUCAGAGGCUUUGCGUUGCUAUUGCUGAAGCCAAGGAGCCUGCAUUCGCUCCAUAGGACGCACACACAUUUCCCCUUAAUUUUUGGAGGGGAAAAAGUGCAUCCUAUAGAGCGAAAAAUACGGUAUGUUCGACAACCAAGGUUUGACUGCAUUGUGUUUUUAUUUGUUGGAAGCUGUCCAGAGUGGCUGGUUAACAUUGUCAGAUGGGCAGCAUAUAAAUUGUUGCUGUUGCUGUUGUUGUUGUUGCUGCUGCUGCUGUUAUUAUCUCUACUGUUGGGUCAUCUAUUGCAGCGCUUUAUUAUCCUCAUGGAAGAAAUGGUCACCAUUCACUGAUAUGGGAGAAUGUGGAUAACAACACCAAUGUAGGCUGAACCUGCCUGUGAUGGCCUGGGAUUCGGACUCGGAUGCUGAACCUGAGGGAUCCCAGCCUGCACAGGAUUCCCUGCCUCCAGUAUCUACCUGUGCUGGAUCCUCAGGUGCAGGCACCAGCUGAGUCUGCUCUGGCUCCUGAGGUGAUUGCCUGCAGGUGCUCCACUCUCAGCCCCAUCAGAGGAAGCUGAGGUUGCCUCUGGGUCCGGUAACCCUCCAGCCUCUCCUGAGCUUCAGAGCCUCAGGGCAGAGAGGCGGAGGGAACUAAGUUCCCACAGAAGGAGUGCUCGCCUCCAGACCAGGAGAGGCGAGUCACCAGAGGAUCAGGGCCGCCCUAUGUCUCGGGGCAGAUAAAAGCUGGCCAGCCCCAGUCCCAAGUUGCAGGAACAAUACUGAUGGUUGCUAGUUCCUGCCUGAACCCUGUCCUGCUUUUCUGCCAGAGCUCCUGACCCAUUCCUGACUUCACCCGACUGUCCUGCACCCAGCUUCAGCUACUACGGACUGCCUCCAUGUUGCACCUUUGACCAUGGACCGGACUUGGACCUCACCUCUCGGGGAACCCAAGGGACCAGGACACUGCCUUUGAGAAUUUCAGCUUCUCUGACCCAGUAUGUUUACGUCUCCAAGACUGGUUGUGUGGAGGAAAGCUAGAGGUGCCCUUAGCUUGUACAGCGGCACCUUGGUUCUCAAACUUAAUCCGUUCCAGAAGUCUGUUCCAAAACCAAAGCGUUCCAAAACCAAGGCGCGCUUUCCCAUUGAAAGUAAUGCAAAAUGGAUUUAUCUGUUCCAGACUUUUAAAAACAACCCCCAAAACAUGGAUCCAAUUUAACAUGGAUUUUACUAUCUAGCGAGACCAUGGAUCCAUAAAAUGAGAGCAAUAAUCAAUGCACUGUACUGUAAAAUAAAUCAGAUAAUAUUGUAGAUGAUGAAAAAUAAAACAAUUUUUUUCCCUACCUGCACUGAUGGUAGUCAUUAUAAUAAAUAGCUUUUAUCUAUUUCCACAGUCACGCAAGCAAUCAGUAGCUGAACUGGGUUCCACACAGUCACAAAAACAAAUUAACCGAAAAAGCAACAAAAACGCCAAACUUAAUCCAUUCUGGAAGACCGUUUGACUUCCGAAAUGUUCAAAAGCUAAGGUGGCACUUCUGAUUGGUGCAGGUGCCCCAGAAACAAUAGCCGACAACCGCAUCGGACGUUCGGCUUCCGAAAAACGCUCAAAAACCAGAACACUUACUUCCGGGUUUUCGGCAUUUGAGAACCAAGGCAUUUGAGUACCAAGGCGUUUGAGAACCAAGGUACCACUGUGCCAGAAAUUGAGCUUUUGGUGCUGCAGCUGAAGCUCUCUGGAAUCAACAAGCAGACAAAGUCAGACAAGUGCCUGGCAAGAUUAUGUUUAGGUGUCUACCAAAUACAUUUUUGUUCAGGAAGGCUUUCCCUGAAGCGCAACCCAAUCAUUUAUG
rnacentral:lncRNA from 1 species